rnacentral:tRNA from 1 species
GGGGAUUUAGCUCAGUGGUAGAGCGCUUGUCUAGCAAGCACAAGGCCCUGGGUUUGAUCCCCAGCUCCA